UGCCAGCCUCCGCUGUACUCCUGAUUGUACGAUCGUUGUUCGGAAUUACUGGGCGUAAAGCGCGCGUAGGCGGCUAUUUAAGUCGGAUGUGAAAUCCCCGGGCUCAACCUGGGAACUGCAUACGAUACUUGGUAGCUAGAGUAUGUUAGAGGCAAGUGGAAUUCCGGGUGUAGCGGUGAAAUGCGUAGAUAUCCGGAGGAACACCAGUGGCGAAGGCGACUUCCUGGCCCAAUACUGACGCUGAGGUGCGAAAGCGUGGGUAGCGAACGGGAUUAGAUA
rnacentral:rRNA from 1 species